rnacentral:tRNA from 2 species
CAUACUAGCCGAAUUGGUACAGGCACUUGUUUAGAGAACAAGCUAUUACGGGUUCAAGUCCCGUGUAUAA